rnacentral:rRNA from 1 species
UACAGAGGGUGCGAGCGUUAAUCGGAAUUACUGGGCGUAAAGCGUGCGCAGGCGGUUGUGCAAGACAGAUGUGAAAUCCCCGGGCUUAACCUGGGAACUGCGUUUGAAACUACAAGGCUAGAGUGUGGCAGAGGGGGGUGGAAUUCCACGUGUAGCAGUGAAAUGCGUAGAGAUGUGGAGGAACACCGAUGGCGAAGGCAGCCCCCUGGGUUAACACUGACGCUCAGGCACGAAAGCGUGGGGAGCAAACAGG